AUCCAACCUGACAGAGCUUGAGAGGAUCUGCAGAGAAGAACGGGAGGAACUUCCCAAAUACAGGUGGAGAGUGAGUGGGAUCACAGAAAGCAGCAUGCUGCUGACUGACCAGGGCCCAUAUUCAUAAAGCAUCUCGGAGUAGGAGUGGUGAUUUAGGAUCAGUUUUGUAGAUGUUAUCUAUGAUUGUAUUUUUGAUUUGUGUAUUUUAACUGUUGCUUGUAUUCUAUAAAAUGUGUAAAUUGUAAAAUGCAGGGCUCCCUUGUAAAAGAGACCUUGGUCUCAAUGGGACACCCUGUUGAAAUAAAGGUCAAAUCAAAAUAAAUAUA